UGGUUGAUCCUGCCAGUAGUCAUACGCUCGUCUCAAAGAUUAAGCCAUGCAUGUGUAAGUGUAAAUAUCAAAGUUUGGAACUGCGAAUGGCUCAUUAUAUCAGUUAUAGUUUAUUUGGUGAAGUGUACUACUUGGAUAACCGUAGUAAUUCUAGGGCUAAUACAUGAGAAAGUCCUCUGGUGAGGUGUGUUUAUUAGAAUGAAAACCAUAUGCUUCGGCAUGAUAGUGAGUAAUAGUAACCUAUCGUAUCGCAUGCUUAAUGUAGCGAUGAGUCUUUCAAGUUUCUGCCCUAUCAGCUUUCGAUGGUAGUAUAUGGGCCUACCAUGGCAGUAACGGGUAACGAAGAAUUUGGGUUCGAUUUCGGAGAGGGAGCCUGAGAGAUGGCUACCACAUCCAAGGAAGGCAGCAGGCGCGUAAAUUACCCAAUC
rnacentral:rRNA from 1 species